rnacentral:rRNA from 1 species
GACGAACGCUGGCGGCGUGCCUAAUACAUGCAAGUAGAACGCACAGUUUAUACCGUAGCUUGCUACACCAUAAACUGUGAGUUGCGAACCGGUGAGUAACGCGUAGGUAACCUGCCUGGUAGCGGGGGAUAACUAUUGGAAACGAUAGCUAAUACCGCAUAAUAUUGAUUAUUGCAUGAUAAUUGAUUGAAAGAUGCUAUUGCAUCACUACCAGAUGGACCUGCGUUGUAUUAGCUAGUAGGUGAGGUAACGGCUCACCUAGGCGACGAUACAUAGCCGACCUGAGAGGGUGAUCGGCCACACUGGGACUGAGACACGGCCCAGACUCCUACGGGAGGCAGCAGUAGGGAAUCUUCGGCAAGGGACGAAAGUCUGACCGAGCAACGCCGCGUGAGUGAAGAAGGUUUUCGGAUCGUAAAGCUCUGUUGUAAGAGAAGAACGGGUGUGAGAGUGGAAAGUUCACACUGUGACGGUAUCUUACCAGAAAGGGACGGCUAACUACGUG